CCCUUAGAGUUUGAUCCUGGCUCAGGAUGAACGCUGGCGGCGUGCUUAACACAUGCAAGUCGAACGAAGCACUUUGAUUGAUUUCUUCGGAAUGAAGUUUUUGUGACUGAGUGGCGGACGGGUGAGUAACGCGUGGGUAACCUGCCUCAUACAGGGGGAUAACAGUUGGAAACGACUGCUAAUACCGCAUAAGCGCACAGGAUUGCAUGAUCCAGUGUGAAAAACUCCGGUGGUAUGAGAUGGACCCGCGUCUGAUUAGCCAGUUGGCGGGGUAACGGCCCACCAAAGCGACGAUCAGUAGCCGACCUGAGAGGGUGACCGGCCACAUUGGGACUGAGACACGGCCCAAACUCCUACGGGAGGCAGCAGUGGGGAAUAUUGCACAAUGGGGGGAACCCUGAUGCAGCGACGCCGCGUGAGCGAAGAAGUAUUUCGGUAUGUAAAGCUCUAUCAGCAGGAAG
rnacentral:rRNA from 1 species